UACGGGGGGGGCAAGCGUUGUUCGGAAUUACUGGGCGUAAAGGGCUCGUAGGCGGCCAACUAAGUCCGACGUGAAAUCCCCAGGCUUAACCUGGGAACUGCGUCUGAUACUGGAUGGCUUGAGUUCGGGAGAGGGAUGCGGAAUUCCAGGUGUAGCGGUGAAAUGCGUAGAUAUCUGGAGGAACACCGGUGGCGAAGGCGGCAUCCUGGACCGAUACUGACGCUGAGGAGCGAAAGCCAGGGGAGCAAACGGG
rnacentral:rRNA from 1 species